GCCUGGCUGGCUCAGUUGGUAGAGCGUGCACGCUCUUGAUCUUGGGGGUUGUAAGUUCGAGUCCUACGUUGGGUA
rnacentral:tRNA from 1 species